GACGAACGCUGGCGGCGUGCCUAAUACAUGCAAGUCGAACGCACAGUUUAUACCGUAGCUUGCUACACCAUAGACUGUGAGUUGCGAACGGGUGAGUAACGCGUAGGUAACCUGCCUGGUAGCGGGGGAUAACUAUUGGAAACGCUAGCUAAUACCGCAUAAUAUUAAUUAUUGCAUGAUAAUUAAUUGAAAGGUGCAAUUGCACCACUACCAGAUGGACCUGCGUUGUAUUAGCUAGUAGGUGAGGUAACGGCUCACCUAGGCGACGAUACAUAGCCGACCUGAGAGGGUGAUCGGCCACACUGGGACUGAGACACGGCCCAGACUCCUACGGGAGGCAGCAGGAGGGAAUCUUCGGCAAUGGACGAAAGUCUGACCGAGCAACGCCGCGGGAGUGAAGAAGGGUGUCGGAUCGUAAAGAUCUGUUGUAAGAGAAGAACGGGUGUGAGAGUGGAAAGUUCACACUGUGACGGUAUCUUACCAGAAAGGGACGGCUAACUACGUG
rnacentral:rRNA from 1 species